UUCACUAGGAGUAGUUGGAGGGGGAUCUUUGUUUCAGUCAUUUGAUCUAUUCCAACAUCGAGAGUAGUGGUGUGGAUGGUGGAGAGUCAGAGAUGUUGAUUACGGGGCUUCAAGGAGCAGAGUUGCCACUUGUAGUGCUGCUUGCAUCUGUUGUCAGAGCAGGUGUGGCUGGUGGGGCUUAUUGUGAUGUUCUCACGAUGCAAAGAUGCGUGAAUGGCCAAAGGCCACUAGUUUUUUGGGCAUAUCUCUUCUGUCUCAUUGUCAGUGUGGCUGCCGAGGGUCGAGUUAUAUGAGAUAGCAAGAAGAGGGAGAGGGAGC
rnacentral:lncRNA from 1 species